rnacentral:rRNA from 1 species
UAAGAAUCUUGCGCAAUGGGAGCAAUCCUGACGCAGCGACGCCGCGUGAAUGAUGAAGGCCUUCGGGUUGUAAAGUUCGAUAAGCAGGGAAGAAUAAGUCCGGGGUAAUAUUCCGGAUGAUGACGGUACCUGCCUAAAGCCCCGGCUAACUACGUGCCAGCAGCCGCGGUAAUACGUAUGGGGCAAGCGUUGUUCGGAAUUAUUGGGCGUAAAGGGCGCCUAGGCGGGGGACUAAGUUAGUUGUGAAAGCUAUGGGCUCAACCCAUAAAUUGCAUCUAAGACUGGUUCUCUUGAGUUCGGGAGAGGAGAGCGGAAUUCCAGGUGUAGCGGUGAAAUGCGUAGAUAUCUGGAAGAACACCAGUGGCGAAGGCGGCUCUCUGGCCUAGGACUGACGCUGAAGCGCGAAAGCGUGGGGAGCGAAC